AUGUGCAUACCUAAGAACAGAGGGGGCAUGGGAUUUAGAGAUAUCCAUUGCUUUAAUCCAGCAUUGCUGACUAAGCAAGCAUGGGGCUUGAUUGAUGAUCCUAAGUCACUAUGCGCUAUUAUCCUUCGAGCAAAGUACUUCCCUGAUGGAGAUUUGUUCAAGGCUACUUUGAAGAAAAAAGCUUCAUACACCUGGCAAAGCAUAAUGGCAGGAGUGGAAACCUUGAAGAGAGGUUACAUAUGGAGAAUAGGUGAUGGAUCCAAAGUGAAUAUUUGGGAUGAUCCGUGGAUACCCCAAUCACCGUCUAGAAAAAAUUUGACAGCUCGUGGAAGUAAUAUCAUCUCGAGAGUGAGUGAUCUUAUUGAUCCUUCCACAGGGGAUUGGAACGAGAAGCUGGUACAGCAGAUCUAUCCCACUCCCGCUACAUGA
rnacentral:rRNA from 1 species